GGUGAGUAAUUGGGGAGCGAAGGAGGCGGGGGUUGAGGAGGGUUAUGACAAAUAGGGAGGGGCCCAAGUGAGUAGCGGGAGGGGGCGGGGCCUGAGGAGGGUGCUGAGAGCUGGAGCUGGGCCCAAUGUUGCUUCAGAGAAAUCCUCUUCUUUGUAAUUGAAUCCAGCAGCUGCUCCAAGCUUUUCUGCCAUUUGAAGCUUCUGCUGGGAGCCAGCUGUGACCAGAGGAAUAGCUCCAGCCAUCCGGCCAUGUAAGACGUGCCUGCUUCCCCUUUGCCUUCCGCAUGAUUGUGGGUUUCCUGAGGCCUCCCUAGCCAUGCUUCCUGUACAGCCUAUGAAACUGAAACCACUGGCCAUGUUUCAUGCUGCCCUACGGAGAGGCUCAUAUGUCAAGGAACUGAUGUCUCUGGCUAACAUCUGACAAGAGCCUGAAGCCUGUGACAGCCAUGAGAGUGAACUUGCAGGCCGAUUGCUCCCCAGGUGAGCCUGGCAAUGACCACAGGCCUGGCUGAUGCCUUGAGAGAGACCUGGAGCUGAAGGACCCAGCUGAAUUGCUCCCAGAUUCCUGACCCACAGAAAUGGUGGGGAUAAUAAUAUGCAUUGUUUUAAGCCACUAA